rnacentral:rRNA from 1 species
UAGGGAAUCUUCGGCAAUGGACGGAAGUCUGACCGAGCAACGCCGCGUGAGUGAAGAAGGUUUUCGGAUCGUAAAGCUCUGUUGUAAGAGAAGAACGAGUGUGAGAGUGGAAAGUUCACACUGUGACGGUAUCUUACCAGAAAGGGACGGCUAACUACGUGCCAGCAGCCGCGGUAAUACGUAGGUCCCGAGCGUUGUCCGGAUUUAUUGGGCGUAAAGCGAGCGCAGGCGGUUAGAUAAGUCUGAAGUUAAAGGCUGUGGCUUAACCAUAGUAGGCUUUGGAAACUGUUUAACUUGAGUGCAAGAGGGGAGAGUGGAAUUCUAUGUGUAGCGGUGAAAUGCGUAGAUAUAUGGAGGAACACCGGUGGCGAAAGCGGCUCUCUGGCUUGUAACUGACGCUGAGGCUCGAAAGCGUGGGGAGCAAACAGGAUUAGAUACCCUGGUAGUCCACGCUGUAAACGAUGAGUGCUAGGUGUUAGACCCUUUCCGGGGUUUAGUGCCGUAGCUAACGCAUUAAGCACUCCGCCUGGGGAGUACGACCGCAAGGUU